rnacentral:rRNA from 1 species
UACGUAGGGUGCAAGCGUUUAAUCGGAAUUACUGGGCGUAAAGCGCGCGCAGGCGGUUCUUUUAAGUCUGAUGUGAAAGCCCACGGCUCAACCGUGGAGGGUCAUUGGAAACUGGGGAACUUGAGUACAGAAGAGGAAAGCGGAAUUCCACGUGUAGCGGUGAAAUGCGUAGAGAUGUGGAGGAACACCAGUGGCGAAGGCGGCUUUCUGGUCUGUAACUGACGCUGAGGCGCGAAAAGCGUGGGGGAGCAAACAGG